AGCACCCCAGAGAGAGAACAGAAAAGGAUGGAAAACAGUCCCCACCUGUUACAAAACAGUCCCCUCUUUAUACUCCAUAUCCCAAAAAAUGUUCAAAUACCAUCAAAAAGAUAGCCAUAAAGAGCCAGAACUGAGAAAACGCUGAAUCAUAGCUUUACCAUCCCCAAGAUGGCCCCACCACCCACGCUAGGCCUUGGGCAAUUCACCAAUGAUUGGUAGUUUCCCUGUUGGAUGUCAAUCCUUCCUGCUCUCAGUGUUCCCCAUCACUAGUCUCCUGCAGGAUACACAAAAACUAAUCGACACUGCCGUACAAUUCAACAAUUCCUGCUUGGAGUUGCCGUACAAUUCAACAAUUCCUACUCGGAGUUAUAUAAGUGGAGCAGCAAUGCAGAUAAAGUUGUAAGUAUGCAUGCUUAUAACUAAAGUUGUCGCGUAAAUUGAGUUGCUAGUUGGUUUCAACUCAGAACUAUCUUGCAGUAGGUUGACUUGUGAUCAAAAUAACCAUGAAACAAGUUUAUCCCCCCGUCAUCCCCUCCUCCCUCUUUGCCUUCUUCGCCCUCCUCGACCUAUAGUGCCAUCCACUCUCUCUCCAAGGGCGAUCAAGACCAUGCACCCUCACCAAAGGUAUAGGUAGCUUCGACAUAAGUCUCUUUAUCCAAAAUAUCUUCAUAUCUAUGUAUGCAGAGUGCUUCAACUUAGCAUUUGCUUGUAAGGUAUUCGAUGGAAUGCUUGUGCUAGAUGCUACUUUUUUCUUUUAUUCCAAAACUCUCCUUCAAACAUAAGAAAUAAGCUUUCGUUAUUAUAACUUAAGUUGCAAUCAGACUUGAGUUACAAUGUAAAUUCAACUACGGGAUUCCGAACAGGACCUGGUCUCCCAAUAGCUCUUGAUCAAAUCAAGAAGUUUACCUCCUUUACUAUGCCUAGCUUGUAGGCAUGCUAAAUCAUUUAUCCUUCUUCCAACCAAUUAUUAGAACAUACAUAUAAAAGGAUGAACCACCUAGCUUUCUUGAAGUCUAAUGAUGCAAGCUUUAAGAGAGUUGACGAGGUCCCAAUACAAUCUUCUCCUACAUUACUCGGGCCACAAAUAUUUCAAGGGAUUACUAGGCACUAGCAUGUUUAGGAGCAUGAGUUCUCGGGGUAUGGCACUCUCUCAGCCUCCAUUGUCGAAGUCCGCCCAGUUCUUUCGAGUUCUCUAAUUCCAGACAAAGCAUUGAUUUAAAAGG
rnacentral:lncRNA from 1 species